rnacentral:rRNA from 1 species
AGCGAACGCUGGCGGCGUGCCUAAUACAUGCAAGUCGAACGGGGAAAGCUUUCGGGUGAGUACUAGUGGCGCACGGGUGAGGAACGCGUGGAUAAUCUGCCUUAGAGUGGGGGAUAACUAGUCGAAAGAUUAGCUAAUACCGCAUAAGACCACAGGAGCUGCGGCUCAAGGGGUCAAAGGUUUUUCGCUCUAAGAUGAGUCCGCGUAAGAUUAGCUAGUUGGUGAGGUAACGGCUCACCAAGGCGACGAUCUUUAGCUGGUCUGAGAGGAUGAUCAGUCACACUGGAACUGAGACACGGUCCAGACUCCUACGGGAGGCAGCAGUAGGGAAAAUUGCACAAUGGAGGAAACUCUGAUGCAGCGACGCCGCGUGAGUGAUGAAGGCCUUCGGGUCGUAAAGCUCUGUCGCAGGGGAAUAACACAAUGAAUGUACCCUGUAAGAAAGGAUCGGCUAACUUCGUGCCAGCAGCCGCCGUAAAAC